rnacentral:rRNA from 1 species
UACGUAGGGGGCGAGCGUUGUCCGGAAUUAUUGGGCGUAAAGAGCGUGUAGGCGGUUCGGUAAGUCUGUCGUGAAAUCCUGGGGCUCAACCUCGGGCGUGCGAUGGAUACUGCCGGGCUAGAGGGUGGUAGAGGCGAGUGGAAUUCCCGGUGUAGUGGUGAAAUGCGUAGACAUCGGGAGGAACACCAGUGGCGAAGGCGACUACCUGGCCUGUUCUUGACGCUGAGGCACGAAAGCUAGGGGAGCAAACGGG